UAGGGAAUCUUCGGCAAUGGACGGAAGUCUGACCGAGCAACGCCGCGUGAGUGAAGAAGGUUUUCGGAUCGUAAAGCUCUGUUGUUAGAGAAGAACGUUGGUAGGAGUGGAAAAUCUACCAAGAGACGGUAACUAACCAGAAAGGGACGGCUAACUACGUGCCAGCAGCCGCGGUAAUACGGAGGUCCCGAGCGUUGUCCGGAUUUAUUGGGCGUAAAGCGAGCGCAGGCGGUUCUUUAAGUCUGAAGUUAAAGGCAGUGGCUUAACCAUUGUACGCUUUGGAAACGGGAGGACUUGAGUGCAGAAGGGGAGAGUGGAAUUCCAUGUGUAGCGGUGAAGUGCGUAGAUAUAUGGAGGAACACCGGUGGCGAAAGCGGCUCUCUGGUCUGUAACUGACGCUGAGGCUCGAGAGCGUGGGGAGCAAACAGG
rnacentral:rRNA from 1 species